GGCAGGGGUAGCAAGGCGGAGCUGUGCCCUGUCACGGCACACAGAGAAUGCCCAUGGAUUUUCACAAAUGCUGUUAAAAUGUGAAAAGAAGGUGUUUCUUUUUUCUUCAAUCUGAGCUUCAAGCUAAUAUGGGCAUUCAGCUAAAUCCCUCCUGGGUCCUGAAACAGUAUGUGGUUUUGGAUUUCAAAGAUAAUCCCUACAACUUCUGGGAGAGGUGCAAGUAUCAACCAGUUGGAGACACAGGGAAAGGGUGAUAUAAUGCAGAAAGUGACUUGAACAAAUUUACACAGAAGGCAGUGAAGUGUGAUUCAAAUUCAAGCAGUCUAGACUGUGCCCCACACAACUCUGCAGCAUAACCUUGCAGUAUGAAAAUAAUGCCUCUCAUGCAGAUACAAGUCUGACAGGAAAACCACUGCUGCUUCUGCUGCCAAUUUGUUAAGCAUCGUGACAAGAGGAGUGACCGAGAAGAUGGAAAAGCCCGGUCUGCCUAGUGCCCCUUCAGUUGGCAGGAUUGCUGGCACAGGGCCGUCUAACUGUGCUGGAAGGUGUUUUAGAAGGGACAAGUGGCACUUUGGGGAGAGGAGUCACGGAUCUCCUGGCUUGGCCAUGAUUCAGCUUUUGGAGAUUUCAUUUAGAAUCUGUGAUCUUUCCCAUAUUCUUCCUAAAAGGAGUUAUCAAAAGCAAGGAAAGUUUGAGAAGCUUUCACAGCCAAGAAGAGCCUGAAGAGACAUGAUAAACAAAUAAAAUGGUGAAUCCUGGAUGCAGCCCUGGAAAAACAACAAAGCGACCUCAGGUUAUGUCUUCUUUUAUAAGACUACCCACUGCCUCUUCUCAAGUAUAUCUGAAGUAUGGCUGGUUGGAGUAUAUCAGGACCCUCAGAGGAGAAAAGCAUAUAAAACCAGCACACCUGAACCCAGAUUCAGAGUGUGCAUGUGCAGGCUUGUUACCUGGAUAUAUUGUGGGAAACUGAGGUUUGGAUAUGAAUGAUUGCAUCACCCAGAAACUUUUCCAGGGAAGCAGAUACUGUGUGUUUAUCUAGGCCCAAGCUUUUCUCUCUGCAGUACUGAGCACCACAAACAGCAGCCUCUAUUCAUCAGCAACUACAGAGGAAUCUUCUAAAUGGUGAACUAGUCAGCCAAGAUGUAUGGAAAAGUCCAUGUGUGACUCAUUUUCCAAAUAGAAUGUACAUCAUUAGAACAAUGCAAAUAAAUUCUCACAAUUGUCCC
rnacentral:lncRNA from 1 species